UUAAAUUGGAUUGGAAGGACUAUAAUUUCAAUAUUUUUAAAAUCGGCUGACUAUAUUAUAUAUAUAUAUAUCAAAGAUCGAAUUGCAGUUUGCCAGGCCUGCCGAAGUUAGCUUCCCUUCAUAUAAUAUUGUAAUGGCAGUGAAUAGCUUCCCCUCUCUCUUUUACUCUCGCCUCUCUAGCUUUCUCUGCCCCUUUUUCGGUAUGUCUAACUCUCUAGAGACAUCUCUUGCUCUCUCGCUCUCAUUUCUCUGUUCUCUUUACUCGGCGACUAUAAAUACAGGCGCUGCCCUCGCACUCACGUCAGUCAGUCCGAGGCCUCGCCAGUGUUUACAUCUAUACGGAUAGUGGUAGUGACAGUGAUUGCUCUUGGACCCCAACAUAUCUGGAUAAAUAGGAAGACGUUCACUUUGAUGAUGCCAUGAAUGCCUAGUCACCAAGAACAAAACUCUAAGCUGCAAGGAAUUAGGAUAGCCGUGUCUCCUAACUGCGGUAUAAGAACAUCAAAAACAUCGAUUUCACAAUUGAAACCCAUGGUCCUAUUGGUAACUCCAUAGAACCGGACCCGAUGUGGCGUCAGCUGGCAACUGAUUUAUAACGUCCAAGGCGAUUACUCACGGCCGUUAUCUGGACUAGCAAUUAGAAAACAUUUCCAUUUCUAUUUUUAAGCUUUUUUAUUUUUCUCUUAUCGCCUAUUAACUAAAACAAACUCUCGUAUUAAUUGGCUGGCUAUAUGGGUAGAAACAAACUAGGACAAACAAUUUUGGGCAUCGUAGAUCAUCAACUUAGGCUAGCGACUGUUUUGGGAGUACAUCUUUAUAUAUAUGUAUAAUUCCUAACGUUAAGUCUUAUAAACAAAAGGACAUUUUGUUGUUGCUAAUUUGCGACACGCAAGAGUUUAAAAUGUGAA